UACGGGGGGGGCAAGCGUUGUUCGGAAUUACUGGGCGUAAAGGGCGCGUAGGCGGCGUGACAAGUCACUUGUGAAAUCUCCGGGCUUAACUCGGAACGGUCAAGUGAUACUGUCGUGCUAGAGUACAGAAGGGGCAACUGGAAUUCUCGGUGUAGCGGUGAAAUGCGUAGAUAUCAUUUGGAACGCCAAUGGUGAAAACAGGUUGCUGGGAGUGUGCUGACGCUGAGACACGAAAGCCAGGGUAGCGAACGGG
rnacentral:rRNA from 1 species